GACGAACGCUGGCGGCGUGCUUAACACAUGCAAGUCGAACGGUGAAGGGGUCUGCUUUUGUGGGCCCUGGAUGAGUGGCGCACGGGUGAGUAACACGUGAGUAACCUGCCCCCUUCUUCUGGAUAACCGCAUGAAAGUGUGGCUAAUACGGGAUAUUCUGGGUCUGUCGCAUGAUGGGUCUGGGAAAGAUUGCGCCUUUGGGUGUUUUUGGUGGGGGAUGGGCUCGCGGCCUAUCAGCUUGUUGGUGGGGUGAUGGCCUACCAAGGCGGUGACGGGUAGCCGGCCGGAGAGGGUGGACGGUCACACUGGGACUGAGACACGGCCCAGACUCCUACGGGAGGCAGCAGUGGGGAAUAUUGCACAAUGGGCGCAAGCCUGAUGCAGCGACGCCGCGUGAGGGAUGGAGGCCUUCGGGUUGUAAACCUCUUUCGCCAGUGAAGCAGGCCUGCUCCUUGUGGGUGGGUUGACGGUAGCUGGAUAAGAAGCGCCGGCUAACUACGUG
rnacentral:rRNA from 1 species